rnacentral:rRNA from 1 species
UCCAAAGCCAUAUCAUCCUGGAGCCCAGGACUUCGUCACUCACUGAAGCUUAGUAGAAUUAAGACUAGUCAGUUCCUGGAUGGGAGACCACAUGUGAAAAUUAAGUUGCUGUUGGAA